UCAGGUGCAUGAAAAACAGUAUUUGCAUAAUGUGACUGAUCUUGAGUUUGUAGUUCUGAAGGUUGAGGCUCCAGUCCAGGCACUGAUCGCAGCGGUGUACAGACCCCCCAGCUACAGUUUGAGACGCUUCCUGGAAAACAUGGUAAGCCUUCUGGAUGCACUGGAGACGAUGGACUGUCACCCUGUAAUUGUUUGCGGCGACUUCAAUGAGAAUCAGGUACCCACUUCUCCCAAGCCCAUUUUGGAGCUGUUCCAGUCUAAAGGUUAUACACAGCUGAUCACAUCUGCCACCACAGACAAGAACACACUACUAGAUCUUGUAUUUAUAUCCCAGCGUCAGCAGUGUCUCCAUUCUGGUGUGAUGAGGACGUACUGGAGCUACCAUAACCCGGUGUUCUGCAUCGUUUCCACCAGUGAACCAUGAACAUGUCUGACGUGUGUACUCCAGACAGGAGACAUGUUCUCCUGUGUCCUCUGUGACAACUUCAUCCAGCACAACCAUCUGCAGAAGAUCUACACCAUCACACUUCUACAUCAUCUUCAUGAACUAUUGGUGCAAACAAGAGACACCACUGCUGGACCACACAGAGAAGUCUUCUACAUGCUGCCAUCCCAGUCUUUCUUCAAGUAGGUGAUGAAAUGUCACCUGUGAAGCUUCACCUGACCACCUGACUGGGCCUGAGAAAGAUCAUUGACAUCAUGCUGCCAUGCUGCACACCAACAACAGAGGAAGCAAGACUUUACGGAACUACGAGACUCCUCCUCCUCCUGCCAGUGACCUGGGUUCCUCACAGUAGAAGAAAAGCUCUUCCUCUGCUGUGAGUCUUUCUCUUCACCAUCGAUCCUGAUCAUCAAUACUGUCAUCAAAACUCCCAAAA